GACAGAGGGUAGCGGUAGUCCAUGGUGAACAUGUCCCUCGCAACCUUCCCAAACUGCAGGAUCACCUUGUCGGGGUCGACGGGGCCGGGCUGCGAGGGGGUCGGGGCGCCUGCCGGCGGCGGGUUCGACGCGGCGGUCAGCUGGAAGUUCUUCACCGAGGCGAUGGUCACGCGGCCGCGGAAGUUGAGGCACCAGCACUGCAGCUGCUCAUGCCACCUCGGG
rnacentral:lncRNA from 1 species